rnacentral:rRNA from 1 species
GACGAACGCUGGCGGCGUGCCUAAUACAUGCAAGUAGAACGCUGAAGGAGGAGCUUGCUUCUCUGGAUGAGUUGCGAACGGGUGAGUAACGCGUAGGUAACCUGCCUGGUAGCGGGGGAUAACUAUUGGAAACGAUAGCUAAUACCGCAUAAGAGUAGAUGUUGCAUGACAUUUGCUUAAAAGGUGCAAUUGCAUCACUACCAGAUGGACCUGCGUUGUAUUAGCUAGUUGGUGAGGUAACGGCUCACCAAGGCGACGAUACAUAGCCGACCUGAGAGGGGGAUCGGCCACACUGGGACUGAGACACGGCCCAGACUCCUACGGGAGGCAGCAGUAGGGAAUCUUCGGCAAUGGACGGAAGUCUGACCGAGCAACGCCGCGGGAGUGAAGAAGGGUGUCGGAUCGUAAAGCUCUGUUGUAAGAGAAGAACGAGUGUGAGAGUGGAAAGUUCACACUGUGACGGUAUCUUACCAGAAAGGGACGGCUAACUACGUG